rnacentral:rRNA from 1 species
AUUGAACGCUGGCGGCAGGCCUAACACAUGCAAGUCGAACGAGUGGCGGACGGGUGAGUAAUGUCUGGGAAACUGCCUGAUGGAGGGGGAUAACUACUGGAAACGGUAGCUAAUACCGCAUACCAUCAGAUGUGCCCAGAUGGGAUUAGCUAGGUGGUGGGGUAACGGCUCACCAAGGCGAAGAUCCGUAGCUGGUCUGCGAGGAUGACCAGCCACACGGGAACUGGGACACGGUCCAAAUCCUAACGGAAGGAGGCAGUGGGAAAUUUUGCACAAUGGGCGCAAGCCGUAUGCAGCCAUGCGGCGUGUAUGAAGAAGGUCUCCGGGUUGUAAAGUACUUUCAGUGGGGAGGCGUUACCCGCAGAAGAAGCACCGGCUAACUCCGUGCCAGCAGCCGCGGUAAUAC